rnacentral:rRNA from 1 species
UACGGGAGGCAGCAGUGGGGAAUAUUGCACAAUGGGCGCAAGCCUGAUGCAGCCAUGCCGCGUGUAUGAAGAAGGCCUUCGGGUUGUAAAGUACUUUCAGUCGUGAGGAAGGUGUUAAGGUUAAUAACCUUAGCAAUUGACGUUAGCGACAGAAGAAGCACCGGCUAACUCCGUGCCAGCAGCCGCGGUAAUACGGAGGGUGCGAGCGUUAAUCGGAAUUACUGGGCGUAAAGGGCACGCAGGCGGUUAAUUAAGUUGGAUGUGAAAUCCCCGGGCUUAACCUGGGAAUGGCAUUCAAGACUGGUUAGCUAGAGUCUUGUAGAGGGGGUAGAAUUCCAUGUGUAGCGGUGAAAUGCGUAGAGAUGUGGAGGAAUACCGGUGGCGAAGGCGGCCCCUGGACAAAAGGACUGACGCUCAUGUGCGAAAGCGUGGGGGAGCAAAACAGGGAUUAGAUACC